rnacentral:rRNA from 1 species
UACAGAGGUCCCAAGCGUUGUUCGGAUUCACUGGGCGUAAAGGGUGCGCAGGUGGUCGGGUAAGUCUGAUGUGAAAUCCCGCAGCUUAACUGCGGAAUGGCAUUGGAUACUAUUUGGCUAGAGGGUUGGAGGGGGGACUGGAAUUCUCGGUGUAGCAGUGAAAUGCGUAGAUAUCGAGAGGAACACCUGCGGCGAAGGCGGGUUGCUGGGCUGACACUGACGCUGAUGUGCGAAAGCUAGGGGAGCGAACGGG